rnacentral:rRNA from 1 species
CACAAGCGGUGGAUGAUGUGGAUUAAUUCGAUGCAACGCGAAAACCUUACCUACCCUUGACAUGUCCGGAAUCCUGCAGAGAUGCGGGAGUGCCCGAAAGGGAAUCGGAACACAGGUGCUGCAUGGCUGUCGUCAGCUCGUGUCGUGAGAUGUUGGGUUAAGUCCCGCAACGAGCGCAACCCUUAUCAUUAGUUGCUACGCAAGGGCACUCUAAUGAGACUGCCGGUGACAAACCGGAGGAAGGUGGGGAUGACGUCAAGUCCUCAUGGCCCUUAUGGGUAGGGCUUCACACGUCAUACAAUGGUCGGUACAGAGGGUUGCCAAGCCGCGAGGUGGAGCCAAUCCCAGAAAGCCGAUCGUAGUCCGGAUUGUUCUCUGCAACUCGAGAGCAUGAAGUCGGAAUCGCUAGUAAUCGCGGAUCAGCAUGUCGCGGUGAAUACGUUCCCGGGUCUU